rnacentral:lncRNA from 10 species
UGCUGAGCAGGUUACUAAUUCGAUCCGAUGAGUCAAUGAGAAGCUGAAGCUUUUAAAGAAAAAGGAAAAGUUUAUGCUUCAUCCAAGGGAACUAAGGAGAAACUCUCUCUUUUUCCUGCUGGAUAUUAAUGAAGAAGGAUGCUGAUCCAGGAACUUUUGACCACCAUUCUGGCAUCCACGACUGGGAAAAAGUCUGCCUAACUCUACUCUCUCCAGGAAUAGUACUGACAAGCAGAGCAUCCUCAGACGCGUGCUUCAGACAGGAACUUUUUCUGUUGCCCAGGCUGGAUUGCAGUAGCGUGAUCAUGGAUUACUGCAGCCUUGACCUCCCAGGCUCAAUCGAUCCUGCCACCUCAGCCUCCCGAGUAGAGUAGCUGGGACUACAGGCAUGCGCCAUCACAGCUGGCUAGUUUGUUUGUUUGUUUGUUUGUUUGUUUGUUUGUUUGUUUGCUUUUUGUAGAAAUGGGUUUUGCACUAUUGCCCAGGCUGGUCUUGAACUCCUGGGCUCAAGCAAUCCUCCUGCCUCAGCCUCCCAAAGUGCUGGGAUUAUAGGCAUGAGCCACCAUGCCUGGCUAAUCCAGAUUUGUUUUCUAAGCCAGAUUUGCUUAGAUGUUGUUCUCCUUACCACAUAAAAAGUUCAAACCAGGACAGCAGAGAGUGACUCCACUGGUGUUGUUAGAGAAAGCAACUGCAGCCACUGUGAGCAUAUUAGAGAGACGGUUCUGAGACAGUCCCUAAAUAAUUCAGCCCACAGCCCUUCCUUAUCUGCCCUACUCCCUCAGCCUUCUGCAAAUAUGCACUUCUAAAGAGACUCCCCACCACCUUUCAAAGCAGGCUUCUUUUCAAAGGUACUACACUCUGAAUUUGGAAGCUAGAUCAGGGACUUUGGAGGUGUCCAUUAAGGGUUCAAGCCCACCAGCAUAAUGAGCCAGUGUCUCAAUGGUCUAAGUCCCCUCUAUUUUCUUCUCUGAAUCUCCAUCUCCUCUUCCCUCUUCCUCUCCUUCCCCUCCUACUGAGAAGCUGCUGUGAGGUGCUGGAAAGCAUUUUGAAUCUGCAGUCAGGUCUGUUAACCUUGAGCAAAUCGUUUCACUUCUAAGAUGCAGUUUACUCAUCCCUAAAACGGGAAUAAGAAUACUCAUCUCAUAAAGUGGAAGUGAGGGUGACGCAAGAUUUUAAAGAGAAGAUGCCUGUCUUUGAGCCAGUGUCCUCAAUCUUUUCUUCAUUUCACACACUGGAAUCUGCUUCAGCUUGAGAGCUGCCAAGUCCUCAAAGCUGUCUGGGAUUACCUUUUCCAUAACUACCAAGCAAAGUAACCCAAGUCCCCAUCCUAUUGGACCACAGGAAAGCCAGGCUCCUCUCAACCACUUCUCAGGGUUCGCAGGGAAUGAUCACCACUUAUUCUCACCCAGAAGCACAUCUCCCCACUUCUCCCCUCUGCGCCAGACGCAUGGUGGCCCCUUCUCCCAGGUGUGGAGAACCCAGCCCCUCCUUCUUAUGUGGGACAAUGCACCAAGACAAGGCUGCUGCACUUUCAGUCUCUACUCAAGACUUGAGGAUGUCACAGGCAAAUUCCAAAGCAAAACCAUAGAAUUUAUAUCUUAGAUUAUUUAUUUGAUUAGCAUACAAAACAGUAUAUAUGGUUAAAGAGUGAAGCCUCCUUACACUCCAAUUUCCUACCCCAAAAGGAAUGACUGCUUUUAAGUUCCUUAUGCAUCUUCCCAGAGUUAGUCUAUGGAUUUAUAAGCAUAUGUUUUUCUCCAGAAAAUCAACAUUUGAACUUCAAUAUUAGGAACCAAGACUCUAAAGCCAAAGUGCAAGCCCCACAGCCAUCUCUCUCCACAGCCUGGCCUGCUGCCACUUUUCCAGGGUCUUCUACUCAGAGCCAAGCCUCUUCCUCGUGCUGUUAAUUACACAGCCACUUGGCUACAGCUGUCUGCCCUUGGCCCUCACCUGCUCCCUGAGAAAGCCCAAAGCCAGUUAAGGUUCAGCGCUGCUGCUUCUUCAUCCCCAGAGCAGUCUAGUCUCACCCGCACUCCCCAAAAGCCUAUGCAGGUGUCUUUCCACCAAAAGGGCAGCUCUGCUUCAGAUGGAUUAUUCCCCGAUCCCUCCAGUAGUUGAUGCAGAACACAGCAGCUGGUAAAACAGCAACGCUUUUGUCAGAUUUGUCCACCACAUGGUGAUUUUCUGUCUGAUGAGCUCAGUGUCUGCUGAGACACUGCAUUGCAAGGUCUCUCCCAUAUACCCUGUUUUCUGCCAAGAGACAGAGCACGAGGGAUGCUCAUCAUCCUCAGGCAGCCAGGCAAGUAGCUAUUACUAGGCCCACUUUGCAGAUGAGCAAAGGAAGCUCUGAGAGGAUGAAUGACUUACCUGAAGCCACACGUCAGUACAUGCAUCGGGCCCUGGCUCCCAAUCUGUGAUGGAUCCGAGGAUGGCACUGCCUCUCCAACAGCCCCAGCCCGCAGCACUGACUUCAUCAGCACUAUUCAUAGUAGCUGAGCUAUGGAAACAACCCAAAUGUCCAUCAACAGAUGAAUGAAUAAAGAACAUGUGGCGUGUAUAUGCAAUGGGAUACUAUCUGGCCCUCAAAAGGAAGGAAAUCCCGCCAUUUGCGACAACAUGGAUGAACCUAAAGGACAUUGUGCUAAGUGAUAUAAGCCAAGCACAGAAGACAAAUGCUGCGUGAUUCUACUUAUAUGCAGUGUCUGAAGUAGCCACACUCUCA